rnacentral:rRNA from 1 species
UAUUUUAUUAUAUUAAAAAUAAUUAUAAAGUUUAGAAUUUUAGUAUAUUAUAUUGAAAAAAUAAUAUUAAUUAUAGUUUAUUAGUAUUGUAAAAGAAAAUUGAAAUAAUUUGAAAAAUUUUUAUAUAAAAAGUAAAUUUAAUUUAUUGUACCUUGUGUAUCAGGGUUUAUUAAUUAAAAAAUAAAUUUUUAUUAUUCUCGAAUUUAAAAGAGUUAAUAAAUUAUAAAAGUUAUUGUAAUAAAAUUAUUUUUAAUAAUUUAUUAGAAAUGAAAAGUUAUUCGUUUUUAAAUAUAUCUAGUUUUUCAAGAAAUAAAUUUAAUUUAUAAUUUGUAAAUAUAUUAUAUUUAUUUAAUAAUGUAAUAUUUUAUGAAUUUAAUAUUUUAAGGGAUAAGCUUUAGAAUAAAUUUUUAAAAAUCAUUAAAUAAUUUUAUAAAUAUAUGUUUAGAAUUAGCAAUUAUUUAUAAUUUUGUUAUAAAUUAUUUAUUAAAUUAUAUUAUUUAAUUUGAUUUUAAUUUUUUAUUGAAAUUUUUAUUAAAAUUUUAUAAAUAAAUUAAUAAUGAUAAAAUUAGUAUAUUUAUUGUAAUUUUAAGUAUAAAUGAAAAGUUUAAUUAAAGAAUUCGGCAAAAUUAAUGUUCGCCUGUUUAACAAAAACAUGUCUUUUUGUAUUAAUUAAAAAGUCUAACCUGCCCAUUGAUAGAUAUUUAACGGCCGCAGUAUAUUAACUGUGCAAAGGUAGCAUAAUCAUUAGUUUUUUAAUUGAAAGCUGGAAUGAAUGGUUGGACGAAAUAUUAACUGUUUCAUUUAAAUUUAUAAUAGAAUUUAAUUUUUUAAUUAAAAAGUUAAAAUAUUUUUAAAAGACGAGAAGACCCUAUGAAUCUUUAUAUUUUUUUAAUUUUAAAUUUUUUAGAUUUAUUUUAUUUAUUUUUAAAAAAGUAUUUUAUUGGGGUGAUAAUAAAAUUUAAUUAACUUUUAUUAAAUUUUUACAUUAAUUUAUGAAUUAUUGAUCCAUUAAUAAUGAUUAAAAAUUUAAGUUACUCUAGGGAUAACAGCGUAAUAUUUUUGGAGAGUUCUUAUUGAUAAAAAUGAUUGCGACCUCGAUGUUGGAUUAAGAUAUAAUUUUAGGUGUAGAAGCUUAAAUUUUAAGUCUGUUCGACUUUUAAAUUCUUACAUGAUCUGAGUUCAAACCGGUGUGAGCCAGGUUGGUUUCUAUCUUUAAUUAUUUAAAAUAUUUUAGUACGAAAGGAGUAAAUAUUUGAAUUAUAAAAUUUUUUAUAUUGAAUAUAAUUAAU